UAGAGUUUGAUCCUGGCUCAGAGCGAACGCUGGCGGCAGGCCUAACACAUGCAAGUCGAGCGCCGUAGCAAUACGGAGCGGCAGACGGGAGAGUAACACGUGGGAACGUGCCCUUCAGUUCGGAACAACCCAGGGAAACUUGGGCUAAUACCGGAUACGUCCGUAAGGAGAAAGAUUUAUCGCUGAAGGAUCGGCCCGCGUCUGAUUAGCUUGUUGGUGAGGUAACGGCUCACCAAGGCGACGAUCAGUAGCUGGUCUGAGAGGAUGAUCAGCCUCACUGGGACUGAGACACGGCCCAGACUCCUACGGGAGGCAGCAGUGGGGAAUAUUGGACAAUGGGCGCAAGCCUGAUCCAGCCAUGCCGCGUGGAUGAUGAAGGCCCUAGGGUUGCAAACUCCUUUCGGCGGGGAUGAUAAUGACGGUACCCGCAGAAGAAGCCCCGGCUAACUUCGUGCCAGCAGCCGCGGUAAUACGAAGGGGGCUAGCGUUGCUCGGAAUCACUGGGCGUAAAGCGCACGUAGGCGGCUUUUUAAGUCAGGGGUGAAAUCCUGGAGCUCAACUCCAGAACUGCCUUUGAUACUGAGAAGCUUGAGUCCGGGAGAGGUGAGUGGAACCGCGAGUGUAGAGGUGAAAUUCGUAGAUAUUCGCAAGAACACCAGUGGCGAAGGCGGCUCACUGGCCCGGUACUGACGCUGAGGUGCGAAAGCGUGGGGAGCAAACAGGAUUAGAUACCUGGUAGUCCACGCUGUAACGAUGAUGCUAGCCGUGUCGGGUUUACUCGUCAGUGCGCAGCUACGCAUAGCAUCCCGCCUGGGGGAGUACGGUCGCAGAUUA
rnacentral:rRNA from 1 species